rnacentral:misc_RNA from 1 species
CCUGAUUUCGUUUUUAUUGGCUAAAAUUCUUAAAAGCCAAGGAAGCCAUAAAUGAGUCAUUCUUGCUAAGAUUGAUCCAUAAUACAUCAAAAUAUAAGUGGACUCCACAUAUACUGUAUUUCUUGAUGUCUCUUUGAUCCGUUAAAGACUACUAGAUUUAGAUAAAAAUUUCUUGCUACAAACAACUUUCUAAAUAGAAAAUAGUAAUAAUCAUUCCCUCUUGUUUCUUUCAUUAAUUCUCCCAAUUUUCCUAUAUUGAAAGGCAAAGAAUAACGCACUACUUCUAUUAGAAUACGCCAACACCUCAAAAUCAUGCAUUCGUGUCCAGCAUCCCCAAAAUACCAAACUUUUUAUGGGUAUAAUAACAAGAGAGGAGUAGGGAGGUUGGAUAUAUCAGAAAGAUGGGACUAGAAAAAAA